UCCUGUAUACCUGCAACUCGUAGACCUAAAUUCGAUACUCGUUGCUUGUAUAUAGUUAU
rnacentral:precursor_RNA from 1 species